CUAGCGACUUCAGAGUUUGAUCCGUGGCUCAGGACGAACGCUGGCGGCGUGCCUAACACAUGCAAGUCGAGCGGGGACAUACGACGGAUAGGAAGUUUUCGGAUGGAAUUGAAGAUGUAUAGUUCUAGCGGCGGACGGGUGAGUAACGCGUGAGCAACCUGUCCCUUACAGGGGGAUAACACAGCGAAAGUUGUACUAAUACCGCAUAAGACCACGGGGAGACAUCUUCCAGGGGUCAAAGGAGCAAUCCGGUAAGGGGUGGGCUCGCGUCCGAUUAGAUAGUUGGUGAGGUAACGGCCCACCAAGUCGACGAUCGGUAGCCGACCUGAGAGGGUGAUCGGCCACAUUGGGACUGAGACACGGCCCAA
rnacentral:rRNA from 1 species